GAUGAGCCAGAAUUGGCACCUUGUCUUUAAAUAAGGUGCAAAAUGAUUUUAACUGAAGAGUUUGAUCAUGGCUCAGAUUGAACGCUGGCGGCAGGCUUAACACAUGCAAGUCGAGCGGAGAGAGGUAGCUUGCUACUGAUCUUAGCGGCGGACGGGUGAGUAAUGCUUAGGAAUCUGCCUAUUAGUGGGGGACAACAUCUCGAAAGGGAUGCUAAUACCGCAUACGUCCUACGGGAGAAAGCAGGGGAUCUUCGGACCUUGCGCUAAUAGAUGAGCCUAAGUCGGAUUAGCUAGUUGGUGGGGUAAAGGCCUACCAAGGCGACGAUCUGUAGCGGGUCUGAGAGGAUGAUCCGCCACACUGGGACUGAGACACGGCCCAGACUCCUACGGGAGGCAGCAGUGGGGAAUAUUGGACAAUGGGGGGAACCCUGAUCCAGCCAUGCCGCGUGUGUGAAGAAGGCCUUAUGGUUGUAAAGCACUUUAAGCGAGGAGGAGGCUACUUUAGUUAAUACCUAGAGAUAGUGGACGUUACUCGCAGAAUAAGCACCGGCUAACUCUGUGCCAGCAGCCGCGGUAAUACAGAGGGUGCAAGCGUUAAUCGGAUUUACUGGGCGUAAAGCGCGCGUAGGCGGCUAAUUAAGUCAAAUGUGAAAUCCCCGAGCUUAACUUGGGAAUUGCAUUCGAUACUGGUUAGCUAGAGUGUGGGAGAGGAUGGUAGAAUUCCAGGUGUAGCGGUGAAAUGCGUAGAGAUCUGGAGGAAUACCGAUGGCGAAGGCAGCCAUCUGGCCUAACACUGACGCUGAGGUGCGAAAGCAUGGGGAGCAAACAGGAUUAGAUACCCUGGUAGUCCAUGCCGUAAACGAUGUCUACUAGCCGUUGGGGCCUUUGAGGCUUUAGUGGCGCAGCUAACGCGAUAAGUAGACCGCCUGGGGAGUACGGUCGCAAGACUAAAACUCAAAUGAAUUGACGGGGGCCCGCACAAGCGGUGGAGCAUGUGGUUUAAUUCGAUGCAACGCGAAGAACCUUACCUGGCCUUGACAUAGUAAGAACUUUCCAGAGAUGGAUUGGUGCCUUCGGGAACUUACAUACAGGUGCUGCAUGGCUGUCGUCAGCUCGUGUCGUGAGAUGUUGGGUUAAGUCCCGCAACGAGCGCAACCCUUUUCCUUAUUUGCCAGCGAGUAAUGUCGGGAACUUUAAGGAUACUGCCAGUGACAAACUGGAGGAAGGCGGGGACGACGUCAAGUCAUCAUGGCCCUUACGGCCAGGGCUACACACGUGCUACAAUGGUCGGUACAAAGGGUUGCUACACAGCGAUGUGAUGCUAAUCUCAAAAAGCCGAUCGUAGUCCGGAUUGGAGUCUGCAACUCGACUCCAUGAAGUCGGAAUCGCUAGUAAUCGCGGAUCAGAAUGCCGCGGUGAAUACGUUCCCGGGCCUUGUACACACCGCCCGUCACACCAUGGGAGUUUGUUGCACCAGAAGUAGCUAGCCUAACUGUAAAGAGGGCGGUUACCACGGUGUGGCCGAUGACUGGGGUGAAGUCGUAACAAGGUAGCCGUAGGGGAACCUGCGGCUGGAUCACCUCCUUAA
rnacentral:rRNA from 1 species